rnacentral:lncRNA from 1 species
AAAAGAAAAUGUUUUUGGAUUUUUGACGAAGGACUAAACCUAAGUUUUUUAUUAGUGGGCCUGACAAGAUUUAUAAAUCCUGCUCCUACGUAUCUCAAAAGAGAAAUCAAGGCUUACGUAGUUCUUGGUAGAAAAAUGUUUGUUUGUUGGUCGAUUUUAGCGAAAGUCAUACUGUAUUAAUCGACGAAAACACUAUUUUACCCAAAAC